GAGCAUGGAUAUCCCGGUGAAUUAGGAGUUUUUCCAUGGAAAAGUUGAAUCCAUGGACAGUUGUCCAGGGAUGAAGGCAGGGAUAUCAUGGACAUUGUCCAUGGAAAGUGAAUAGCAGCAUGGACAUGGUCCAUGGUCAGCUUUUCUGUUCACACUUAGAAAUUUUCUGAUGAAUAAGGCAGAAAAAGUUCUAAGUCGAAAAAAUGGGAUUUUUUUUAAAAAUUAUUAAUUCAUUACUGUCCUUACCGUUUUAUGGUCAUAUAGGUAUUCAAAUUAACUGAAAUGAAACAAGGAAUGUAACUAAAUAAAAUAUUUAAAAAAAUGUAAAUUAGAAUUAUAUCAUUUUAUUAAUUCAUCUUGAUAGUUGAUGUAACAAGAUAUCAUACAUCAUUGAAAAUAUACCCCACUAUUAAGCUAUUCAUUUCUUUCAGUUUGUUAUUGAACAUCACCAAAAAAAAUACAGUAGUUCAUAAGGAUUAAAUGGCAUAUAGUCAAAGAAAUUGUUAUGAAAUUAUGCUCAUAUAUGUAAACUCAUCAUAUUAUAAACUGAAUUAGUCUAUGCCUUUGAUAAUCCAGGCAGUGAUUAAUUAUCUAGCUUUUACAGCCAUUUAAUACACUGCUGUUCAAUGUGUACUGUUGUAUUAAUGAACACACAGAGAUAGCUGAUAACAUCUGGAGAUUCUGACCAAGAUAAAGACCAAUGGAAAUGCAGGUUUCUGAAGCCGUUUUACACAUGUAGCCCCAAGAAAUAAUCCCAAUACUUUUUUAUUUUUUUCUGUGAUCUUUGCAAAUUCUGUGAGCAAAUAAAUGGAAAAAUUCUCAUGAACUGUAUAUAGUUUUUAAGAACAUUCCAGAUAUUCCCUUCAGUAACUAUACUGUUCCAAGGAAUAUUGCUCAUGAAUACAACAAUUUGAAUGUAAACAGGAAGUGCUUUGUCUAGAUGUUGGAGGCAAAAUGGAAUGGAGCUAAAUAAUUUUGUACCUUGAAAUUCUAAAAUGCUUUUAGAGAGAUAUCAGAUGCAAGAGUGUACAUAUUUAGUUAUUAGAAGCAUUGUCUUCAACAUGUAUGAAUGAAAUGAUGUAAUCAGAGAUAUUUGAUGGCUUUAGUGCCUAUGCUACUGGAUGAAAUGAGAUCACAGACAGAGACCCCAUCAAACACUAAACUAAAUGGCUGGGAUGAGGUUCCUGACCCUGGUGAUGGUUUUAGCAAAGCUAUAAGAGACAUUCUAGUGCCACCUAUAGUGAGCCAACAUAACUCCAAAAAUGAUUUUGUUGUAUUCAUAACUUUCUAUUAAAUCAUUUUUAUAUUUAA
rnacentral:lncRNA from 1 species